UGGCGGCGGCGCCGGGACGGGGGAGGGGCGCGCCGGAACCGGAACCGACCUGACGCCGGAACCGGAACGGAGAGCGGGUUGCCAGGGCCCGAAGAGGGCUGGCUGCGGCGGUCUCGCUCGGCUGUCCGUUCCUUGCUGGAGAAUUUGGCCACAAAGAGUUGCCAAGAUAGCUGGGCCAGGAAGAAAGCGCCGCAGCCCUGACCCAGACGCUGUUGCCGACCCCGGGGCACUCUGGCUGUCGACCAAGCGGCUCAAGAUGUCUGGCGGGGCCAGUGCCACAGGCCCAAGGAGAGGGCCCCCAGGACUGGAGGACACCACUAGUAAGAAGAAGCAGAAGGAUCGAGCAAACCAGGAGAGCAAGGAUGGAGGUCCUAGGAAAGAGACAGGGUCUCGAUAUGUUGCCCAGGCUGGUCUUGAACUUCUGGCCUCAGGUGAUCCUUCUGCCUCAGCCUCCCAUGCAGCUGGGAUCACAGGCUCACGCCACCAUACCCGGCUGUUCUUUCCUUCAUCAUCAGGGUCAGCAUCCACUCCUCAAGAGGAGCAGACCAAAGAGGGAGCUUGUGAAGACCCUCAUGAUCUCUUGGCUACUCCCCCUCCAGAGUUGUUGCUCGAUUGGAGGCAGAGUGCAGAAGAGGUGAUUGUCAAGCUUCGUGUGGGAGUAGGUCCCCUGCAGCUGGAGGAUGUAGAUGCUGCUUUCACAGAUACGGACUGUGUGGUGCGGUUUGCAGGUGGUCAGCAGUGGGGUGGUGUCUUCUAUGCUGAGAUAAAAAGCUCUUGUGCUAAAGUGCAAACCGGCAAGGGCAGUCUCCUGCACCUGACACUGCCCAAAAAGGUGCCUAUGCUCACGUGGCCCUCCCUCCUGGUGAGUUCUAGUAGUCCAGGGUUGGGUAGGGAUACCAGUGUAGUCGACAGGGCCUGACUGCUGUAUCUUUGGCAGAAGAAACCUCUAGGGACCCAGGAGCUGGUGCCGGGGCUGCAGUGCCAGGAGAAUGGGC
rnacentral:sRNA from 1 species